rnacentral:rRNA from 1 species
UCAAGCUACAAAGAGCUUAUGGUGGAUACCUAGG